UACAGAGGUGGCAAGCGUUGCUCGGUAUCACUGGGCUUAAAGGGCGCGUAGGCGGUGCGGUACGGUUUCGGUGAAAUCCCUCGGCCCAACCGAGGAACAGCCGGGGCUACGGCCGCGCUCGACGGCAUCAGGGGACAGUGGAACUCCCGGUGGAGCGGUGAAAUGCGUAGAUAUCGGGAGGAACGCCGGUGGCGAAAGCGACUGUCUGGGGUGCCUGUGACGCUGAGGCGCGAAAGCCAGGGGAUCAAACGGG
rnacentral:rRNA from 1 species